rnacentral:snRNA from 1 species
AUACCUUUCUCGGCCUUUUGGCUAAGAUCAAGUGUAGUAUCUGUUCUUAUCAGUUUAAUAUCUGAUAUGUGGGCCAUGCGCCCACUACGAUAUUAAAUUUAUUUUUCGUGGGGGAGGGACAACCACAGUGGCUUGCCACUGGGGCCCUCGCGCGUCGCCCAGGCGUUGCACUGCUGCCCGGGCCUGGCGCACCCCAA